CCUAUGAUCAUGCAGGUAGCAUAUUUUAAAGAAGACCUCUUCAAAAUUUAAUCCUCCAGGAAUCUGUUACUCACAGGAACUUGCCUCCAAGAAACUUCCAGACUGACUCUGGUCCCAAACUGAACAUAGGCCAUCAAGAACCCAUUGAGUCCUCUGGAUUGGAGUGGUGGAUACAGACAAAAUCCUAAAUAUUCUUCAGAUGUGGU
rnacentral:lncRNA from 1 species